rnacentral:rRNA from 1 species
UACGUAGGGUGCAAGCGUUGUCCGGAAUUAUUGGGCGUAAAGAGCUCGUAGGCGGUCUGUCGCGUCGGCUGUGAAAACCCGAGGCUCAACCUCGGGCCUGCAGUCGAUACGGGCAAACUAGAGUACUGCAGGGGAGACUGGAAUUCCUGGUGUAGCGGUGAAAUGCGCAGAUAUCGGGAGGAACACCGGUGGCGAAGGCGGGUCUCUGGGCAGUAACUGACGCUGAGGAGCGAAAGCGUGGGGAGCGAACAGG